rnacentral:sRNA from 1 species
GAACUGCUUGCCAGUGUAUGUUUUGCCGAAGUCCCACUCCUUAGGGACCACGUUGUAGUUGGUCAAUGUUUUUCCAUCACUUGAGGUGAGCUCGAAGGAGAGAGGCUGUCCCCUGAAAUCAGAGUUGAUGUGCCAUAUCUGCCCCCAGUUGCGGCCCAUCGAGAGCCAACCGGACUCCGUUCCUUUGAUCUUCACUGAUCGGACAUCGCCAGCACCACCGACAUUGCUAAUUAGGACUUAGACUAAAGAUAGCAGCAAUCAAAGGAUGCAGCCAAGAAUCGAACGUACCGGCGGUACUGGAUGGGCAUCACGCCGGCCUUCCAGAGCGCAAUCUUCUCGAAGGACUGGAUGGGGAGGAGGAAAUGGUGGUUGGGCGGGUUGCAGACGCCGCCGGCGUCGGCGGGGAGACCGAAGUUCGGGGCGCAGAAGUUGGUGGCCGUGACGACGAUGGAGGUUCCGGGGAGGCAGUACUUGAGGUCAUCCACGCACUUCACCUCGUAGCAGCCGCCGCACGCCGCGCCGCGCUCGAACAGCGCCGUGCUCAGCCCCACCGU